UUACGGCCACAUCCCGUUGAAACAGUGGUUCCCGUACGAGCACGGAUGUUAAGCAACGUCGAGCCUGGUGAGUACUUAGAUGGGUGACCGUUUGAGAAUACUGGGUGCUGUAA